rnacentral:rRNA from 1 species
CGUAGCAAUACGUCAGCGGCAGACGGGUGAGUAACGCGUGGGAACAUACCUUUUGGUUCGGAACAACACAGGGAAACUUGUGCUAAUACCGGAUAAGCCCUUACGGGGAAAGAUUUAUCGCCGAAAGAUUGGCCCGCGUCUGAUUAGCUAGUUGGUGAGGUAACGGCUCACCAAGGCGACGAUCAGUAGCUGGUCUGAGAGGAUGAUCUGCCACAUUGGGACUGAGACACGGCCCAAACUCCUACGGGAGGCAGCAGUGGGGAAUAUUGGACAAUGGGCGCAAGCCUGAUCCAGCCAUGCCGCGUGAGUGAUGAAGGCCCUAGGGUUGUAAAGCUCUUUUGUGCGGGAAGAUAAUGACGGUACCGCAAGAAUAAGCCCCGGCUAACUUCGUGCCAGCAGCCGCGGUAAUACGAAGGGGGCUAGCGUUGCUCGGAAUCACUGGGCGUAAAGGGUGCGUAGGCGGGUCUUUAAGUCAGGGGUGAAAUCCUGGAGCUCAACUCCAGAACUGCCUUUGAUACUGAGGAUCUUGAGUUCGGGAGAGGUGAGUGGAACUGCGAGUGUAGAGGUGAAAUUCGUAGAUAUUCGCAAGAACACCAGUGGCGAAGGCGGCUCACUGGCCCGAUACUGACGCUGAGGCACGAAAGCGAGGGGAGCAAACAGGAUUAGAUACCCUGGUAGUCCACGCCGUAAACGAUGAAUGCCAGCCGUUAGUGGGUUUACUCACUAGUGGCGCAGCUAACGCUUUAAGCAUUCCGCCUGGGGAGUACGGUCGCAAGAUUAAAACUCAAAGGAAUUGAC